rnacentral:rRNA from 1 species
UACGUAGGGUGCGAGCGUUAAUCGGAAUUACUGGGCGUAAAGGGCUCGUAGGUGGCCAACUAAGUCAGACGUGAAAUCCCUCGGCUUAACCGGGGAACUGCGUCUGAUACUGAAUGGCUUGAGUUUGGGAGAGGGAUGCGGAAUUCCAGGUGUAGCGGUGAAAUGCGUAGAUAUCUGGAGGAACACCGGUGGCGAAGGCGGCAUCCUGGACCAACACUGACACUGAGGAGCGAAAGCCAGGGGAGCAAACGGG